UCUGUUACUAUAACAUUUUGGUAAUAGAAUGAAAAAAAAGCCAAUAAAUUCACAAGCAUUGGUAGCACGCUGCCUGAGGGGCACGUCUGCUGCUACCACCACACGGGUCUCUGGCCCAGUGAGUGGAGUUUGACAGUAAUUCUGGCUACAAGU
rnacentral:snoRNA from 1 species